GAUCAUUAGUGAAAGUUUCGGGCCUGCCAUACGGACGCAAACACGUCUCUGGCGCCCAUCACUAUAUCCAUACCAACCCCUGUGCACUGUGAUGACGAAUGUCAUCGAACAAAAAAAAACUCGUAUGGUUGAAUGUACGUGAAAUUGUAGGUAUAGCCUACGAACUAUACACAACUUUCGACAACGGAUCUCUUGGUUCUCCCAUCGAUGAAGAACGCAGCGAAACGCGAUAGGUAAUGUGAAUUGCAGAAUUCCGUGAAUCAUCGAAUCUUUGAACGCACCUUGCGCUCCAUGGUAUUCCGUGGAGCAUGCCUGUUUGAGUGCCGCGAAUUCUCCCUCCCCUUACGGUGGCCGAAAGGCCGAAGUAGGGCGGACGGGGUAGGAUGGGUGUUUGCUGCCUGGGGAUUGUACCAGGCUCGCCCGAAAUGCAUAAGCGCCAGGACCCUCGCUACCGCUCUCUAGGGAAGAGUGGCUAAGCGACCGCUGAGCAUGGCAUGAUACGUCAUUUGCUGUGUGUGGGCGGCCGGUUGGAGAGGUGUCUGCUUUACCAGCCCUAUUUUAAUUCUGGUCUCAAAUCAGGUAGGAUCACCCGCUGAACUUAAGCAUAUCAAUAAGC
rnacentral:misc_RNA from 1 species